rnacentral:rRNA from 1 species
CAGCAGCCGCGGUAAUACGUAGGGGGCAAGCGUUAUCCGGAAUAACUGGGCGUAAAGGGUGCGCAGGUGGUUUAACAAGUUAGUGGUGAAAGGCAUAGGCUCAACCAAUGUAAGCCAUUAAAACUGUUUAACUUGAGUGCAGGAGAGGAAAGUGGAAUUCCUAGUAUAGCGGUGAAAUGCGUAGAUAUUAGGAGGAAUACCAGUGGCGAAGGCGACUUUCUGGACUGCAACUGACACUGAGGCACGAAAGCGUGGGGAGCAAACAGGAUUAGAUACCCGCGUAGUCCCUGUCUCUUAUACA